rnacentral:rRNA from 1 species
AUUGAACGCUGGCGGAAUGCUUUACACAUGCAAGUCGAACGGCAGCACGGGAGCUUGCUCCUGGUGGCGAGUGGCGAACGGGUGAGUAAUAUAUCGGAACGUAUCCACUAAUGGGGGAUAACUAGUCGAAAGAUUAGCUAAUACCGCACACGCCCUGAGGGGGAAAGCUGGCGAUCUUCGGACCUAGCGUUAAUGGAGCGGCCGAUAUCGGAUUAGCUAGUAGAUGAGGUAAAGGCUCACCUAGGCAUCGAACAGUAGCUGGUCUGAGAGGACGACCAGCCACACGGGAGCUGAGACACGGUCCAGACUCCUACGGGAGGCAGGAGUGGGGAAUGUUGGACAAUGGACGCAAGCCUGAUCCAGCCAUUCCGCGUGGGUGAAGAAGGCCUUCGGGUUGUAAAGCUCUUUCGCAAGGGAAGAAAACUUAACCUCUAACAUAGGUUGAGGCUGACGGUACCUUGAUAAGAAGCACCGGCUAACUACGUGCCAGCCGCCGCUGUAA